CGUAGGAUGCAAGCGUUGUCCGGAAUUAUUGGGCGUAAAGAGCGCGCAGGCGGUAUGACAAGUCAGAUGUGAAAGAGGCCGGCUUAACCGGCAAGGGUCAUUUGAAACUGUCAGACUAGAGUGCAGCAGAGGAUAGUGGAAUUCCCGGUGUAGUGGUGAAAUGCGUAGAUAUCGGGAGGAACACCAGUGGCGAAGGCGACUAUCUGGGCUGCAACUGACGCUGAGGCGCGAAGGCUAGGGUAGCAAACAGGAUUAGAUACCCUGGUAGUCCUAGCAGUAAACGAUGGAUACUAGGUGUUGGGGGAAAUUGACCCCCUCAGUGCCGCAGUUAACACAAUAAGUAUCCCGCCUGGGGAGUACGGUCGCAAGAUUA
rnacentral:rRNA from 1 species